CGUCACCACGCCCGGCUAAUUUUUGUAUUUUUAGUUGAGACGAGAGUUCACCAUCUUGGCCAGGCUGGUCUCGAACUCCGGCCUCCCAAAGUGCUGGGAUUAUAGGUGUGAGGCACCGCAUACAGCCUAAGGGACUGUUUUCUGACUGACAGACACAGACGACCUCACUCAGCACCCGACAACCAACACAAACACACUAGGGUGCGUGCCGGACCCCAAGAAAAUACCCCUCUGGGGACUGCAGCCUCGUUAUUGUUCGUGACCAAUUGGAGUCCCGCAGGCGCCAUUUCCCCGCCGCUUGGUUCGGUCGAGCCACUUCGUUGGUGGCUCAGGCAGCAGUAACGUAUCGCGCUUGCUCAGUAGCCAAUAAGAAACAUGCCGGCCCCCUCCGCCCCCUGGGACCUCCUAGACCGGCCGACCUAUCUAUGCCCAGCCCGAAGCAGCAUCCUCCGGAUCCUUCGGGUUCUUUCGGAAGUUUCCCUCCAGGGUAAAGUCGCGUUCGCUCUCCCAGCAACACAUUUUUUCUGCCCGACUCGCGCGUGCGCACUGACAGGCUUAGGACGGCCCUGAAAUGAAAACAUCUUGAGAGAGGAGGAGGGACCCUAAGCCGCUGCCUGACCGGUCACUGGGGAUACCCACACAACCCGAGGUGGCCGCUGCCGGAAGCGGUCCCCAAAACAGGAAUUGUAGGACCAAAAGGAGGUGCCUCAGAAGCGGUGUUUUGGCCAAGCGGGAAGGGAAGCGGACUGGCAAGUGGGGGACAACGGUUCAAACCCCAGGCGCCCCAGGGACGCGGGAACGGAGACUUUGAAAUUGCGCCGGCAGCCUGACCCCGUCGGUGCGAGUCCUACUGUUUCACGUGGCUAGAGCUCUCAAGGAAAACCGUCCCAAAGUUUCGCCUCCACUUGCUUGUGUGCCUAAUUAAAAA